UACUGUAGAGCUUGAUUAGUUAAGCAUUUCAUUUACAUUGAAAAAAUAAUUGUGCAAAUCAAUUUAUGGUAA
rnacentral:tRNA from 1 species